GAAGGGACCAAAGGGGCUAUGGCAGCUGGGAACCGGAGCCAGAAAUCUGAGAACCAGGGAGCUAUUACUACUGAACUAUUUCACAAACCCAUUUUGAAAGUCAAAAACCGAGCACUGAGUCUUUCUCUGUAAUCCAGCUACACCAACCCUAAUCUUCUCUGAGGUGAUGCACAGCUGUCACUGGGGAGAAAUGGAAUGCCAGGAAAUGCACAAAGGAAAAGCAUCCUGACAAAUGUUUUCAGCCUUAUGCGCCACACCACUAAAGAACAUUGCCACCUGCUGUAGGAUAUGAAGCUUCUGAAGCACAUGAGAAGUAAGAGGAAACAAUGGUCAUGCCCCCAAAGGUCUUGCUCCACAGAACUGGAGGGACACGUUCUGAAGAAUCCCAGAUUGCAUUCCAGAUGCACCCCAUGGAAACAUGGGACUUUGGUCCUUUUCCAACACCAGGUCACAAGGAGAAAGCUCAUUUUGCAGCUACUCACAGUUACUAGCAGGGCCAUCAUCCUUAACAUUUUUCUGUUGACUCAGAUCUCAGUGAUUUGUAGAAGGAUAAAUUAUCUAAGUAUGAAUUUCCUCUUAAUUCUGAAUAGAAUCUUAUAAUAGCCUCUAUCCUGUUACGACGUUCCCAGUAGUCUUAUGAAUUCAGUAGGGAAUAAACCAGCUGUUUCCAUUUCAUGGGGAGGGCGGGAGGAACAAUCUUGGACUUUUUCUUUUUUUCAACCAAUGUUUAUUGAACCCUUAUUGUGAACCAGGAGCUGUAUUAGGCUCUGAGAAUACACAGUUAGCCUGAACCUACAUGAUGCUUAUACUAGGGAAGAAGACACAUAAACAGAUACUUUUAUUAUAAAAUGGUAGAAAUAAUUACUAGGUGUCAAAGGUUCAAAGUUGAAGGGUAUCACUCAGCCUUCCUGGAGGAGCUGAGACUUGAAUUAAGACUUGAAGGAUGGGCCAGAUGCCAAGUGGGGAGAAGAGCUCUGUUGAUCUGUUCAUUGUGGUAUCCCUACCACCCCACCACAUGGUCUAGUACAUGGAAGACAUUUAAUACAGUGAAUUUGCGAAAGAAAUCUCAGCAGAGGAAAUGUUAUAAGCACAAACAAGGCACGGGAAACUAGAAAUGAUUUGGAUUUACGAGAAGAUUAAUCCUUAUAGGAUCAUAGAUUUCUCUGAAAAACUAAUAGAAGCUAUGGUCCGUCUUCCUACCAAAAUUAACAUACACUCAACAUUUAACAGGUAAUUUUAGGGGGAUACAGAUAUGCCUGAAACUUGUACACACUGAGAAAUCUCUGUUAUAGGGAAUUGGGAGCAUUGAGGUUUUUAAAAACAUCUUUAUUUUAUUUAUUAUAAAGUAGGGGAAUGACAUAACUUAGAGUUACUUUGGAUGCAUAGUGAAGGAUGGGCUUAAGGAAGAUAAGACUAGAUGUGGCAGUUCACUUAAGAGGUUGCUGAAAUAAUUCUGGGUGAGUUAGCCAGAACUAGGAGUGAAGACACGGGCAUGGAGAAGAGUAGUGGGGUGAAGAAUACUUUAAGCGGUAAAACUGGCCUUGCUGGUGUUUGGUUGGAUUUGAGAGCAAGGAAUGGGAAGGAGCUAAGGUUGACUUUCAGGUUUUUUGAAGGACAGGGCAGAUGGUGGUGCUAGUAAUUGAGAUAGGAAAUGCAGGAAAAGAGGUUUGGGUCAGGAAUGGGCUGAUGGAGAGUCUGGGGACGGGAGAAAUGAGGAGUUUGGGUUUGGCCAUGUUGAGAUCACUUGAGGCGACCAGGUAAUGACAGAUACGAGCGAAGUGGAAGGAUAAUGGGGAGAUGCUGUAAACUUUAAGGAGCAAAGGAUUAUGGGAGAGUGGAGUGGGGGUCCAGCAUAUGUUUUCACUUAAUUGGGCAGUGAGGAGGACUGGUGGCCACUGAGUCUGAGGAAUGUGGGGAGUAAGAUCAUAAGGCAGCUCCUCAAACAAGGGUUGGCGGAGGGCCAGUGUCUUCAGGAGCUAUGUUAAUUUCCCAGGGCUGCCACAACCAAGCACCACAAACUGGGUGACUUAAAACAACUGGAAUUUAUUGUCUCACAGUUCUUGGGGCUAGAAGUCAGAAAUCAGAGUGAAGCAGGAGAAGAAGGUCUGAAGGCAGGGAACCUGAGGCCAUUUCAUGCAGACUUCCUAGAACUAAAUUCAUGCAGACUUCCUAGAACUUUCCAUGCCUAAGUAACAAAAGGACCAGAGGCUAUUCCCUUUGCAAACCCCCACCUUUUCUGUGUGGCAGAUGGGAAAUCUAAAGUACCUCAAUUUGCAUACGAGUGUAACUUUGUUUGCUUUGGAGUGUAACUUUGUAACUUCACUCCAGCCUCUGAUUGGUUGCUGUCCACAACCAAUCAAAAUGAUUGCAGGCCGAGUCUUCGUUUGCAUAGAAGUGCGGCUUUGUAACUUCACUUCAGUCUCUGAUUGUGGGCCACCACUUCAUUUACAUGAGGUGAGCACCAAGUGGCCAAUGGGAAACCUCUAGGGGGUAUUUGGAUCAGAGAAGAUUCUGUAUCCGGGCCCAUGAGCCUGCUGGUGCCGCUCCCACGCUGUGGAGUAUACUUUAACUUUCAAUAAAUCCUUGCUUUCAUUCUUUCAUUGCUUCAUUCUUUUCUUGCUUUGCUGUGAGUUUUGUCCGAUUCUUUGUUCAAAAUGCCAAGAACCUGGACAACUUGCAGUCAAGACCCUCUACCGAUAACAAAGGUGCUGGCAGGAUCAUGCUUCCUGUGAAAUUUAGCGAAAUCCUUCUGCCUCUUCCUAGCUUCUGGUGGUUUGCUGGCAAUCUUUAGUGUUCUUUGGCUUGUGGAAGCAUCACCUUACUCUCGGCCUGUGUUAUUGCAUGGCGUUCUCCCUGGGUCUGUUUUCUCAUGUGGCCCUCUUAUAAGGACCCCAGUCUUAUUGGAUUACAGACCCAUGCUGCUCCAGUAUCACCUCAUCUUAAUUAAUUACAUCAGCAACGGCCCUAUUUCCAAAUAAGGUCACAUUCUAAGGUACUGGAGUCAGGACUUCAACAUACGUUUUAGCAGGGGAUAAGUUCUACCCAUAGCAGGGAAGUUACUAUUUCUAGUUCAAGGAGAAAACAGAGGGAACAUUCUUCACAGAUUGAGGGGGCAGGGGGAGUUAGGUUCCGAAAGGCUCAAGUGAAAUGGUUGGGGGUACUGGGGGGGGAUGGUGGUGGGGUUUCUGAUCAGAGGAGAGGUGAGAGGAAGAGCUAACCGACAUUCUGGGUGAUAAGACUGGUGCAAAUGUGAGUCAUGGGGUGUUGGCACGAGGAACUCACUGCAGCUCUGGUUUGAGGGCAGUCUGGGUGGACUGGCCCUGUGGUGGGGUGAGAACACACUCUGCCUCAGGGGACUCUGGGUAGAGGAGCAUCCCAUGAAAUGCAUCAGACUGCUGUUGCCUGGUCAGCUUCUGCUUAUGGAUGUUAGUUUGAUGAAGAAGAAUCACUUACUUCUUGCAGAUUCUUGAAGUUUUCUCCACGGUGGCUGAGAUUUCCUAAAAGCUGCCGGUGUCACUGCUGUUUUUUAAAUUAUUUUCUUCUUGCUGCUUCUAGCAGGCAGUAAGCAAUGAUAGUCUGAGAGGUGCUUCUGUGCUCAUAACUUCUUUAUUUUCUUUGGGAUUUUGAAGUGUUCUUCUAUUCCCAAAGAACUUAAGAAAGCAAAUUCAAUGAAUAAACCUGUUAUUUGAGAAACCCCUCUCUAUCUACUUACUCCUUUCUUAUUGCCUUUAUGAAUUCCAAAACAGCAGAGUGCAAGGUAAAAGGUGUUAAGUCAAAAGACUGUCACUGGAUUGUAAAUACAUUCUGGGUAGGGGCUUUAUAUUGUUAGCCCUUUUAAAAAUUCUACUCUCUAUGAAAAGGGCAAAAAGAGCUGAUGCUCAGGCCACUGCUCUGUGUUUCACUUGCUUGCACUCUUUCUUAAAUAAUUUCUUAGUUAUAGUCCCAGCCACUUUAUAUCCUAUUUGAUCCUUUUUUUUUUUUUUUUUUUUGAGGUGGAGUUUCGCUUUUGUCACCCAGGCUGGAGUGCAAUGGUGCGAUCUCAGCUCACUGCAACCUCCACCUCCCGGGUUCAAGCAAUUCUCCUGCCUCAGCCUCCCGAGUAGCUGGGAUUACAGGCGCACACCACCACGCCCAGCUAAUUUUUGUAUUUUUGGUAGAGAUGGGGUUUCACCACGUCGGCCAGGCUGCUCUCAAAAUCCUGACCUCAGGCAAUCCACCUGCCUCGGCCUCCCAAAGUGCUGUGAUUACAGGCGUGAGCCACUGUGCCCGGCCUGUUGGAUCCAUUUUUAUGAAGGAUUAUAUAAAUGUCCUCUGAUAGACAUAGUUUCAUAAAAAGAAGCUCCUAUCCAGGUGUGCUAGCUUAAAAACCAGUACGGGAAGAAUUUGUGAAACGAUGUUUGUGGUAGCUAGAGGGACUGUAUCUGUUGAGCUGGGUGGUGAGCGGUAUGGCACAGAUCUGAAGUUAAGGUGGUUUCUUCUUUGUUGGUGUAAAAAUGAUGGUUGGAGCUAUUUUCAAAAAACUCAUAAGAAGGGAUGAUUGUACACAUGUGUGUUGCAGUUCAUCUGUACAAAUACAAAGACCGGGGACUUAGGAAUGUUGACUGCCACUUAGAGCAGUGUUUUGCAAAGUUUAAUAAGCACGUGAAGUGCCUGGGCAUUUUUAAAAAUGCAGAUUCUGAUUCAGCAUAUCUGGGAUGGGUCCUGAGAUUCAGUAGUUCUAACAAGCCCCCAGGUGACAUUGAUGCUGCUGAUCCAGAGACCACACUUAGAGGAGCAAAGACCUGGGGAACCUCUUGAAGAAGCACCAUGAUAGCAUUGCAGUCUGGUCCUCAGCCUAAAUCCUUCAACUGCAACCUGAAAUCCAGAAACAAUAAAAGCCAAAAGUAUUUUUAUAACUCCUUUUGAGGCAAAACCUGAUUUGAACUCAUGUGAAAAUAUUCAUAAUGCUUAUUUCCUAUUUUGCACAACUAUUCAUGUUUUCAUUGCAAAAAGAUUGGUGUAUAUGAUUAUGGGAAACUGCCCUAGACUCCACUGGUGUGUGAUGUUAUAUGAGGCACAAGACCAUAUUCUAAAGUCCAAAAAAUUUCUGAAUUCAGAAACACCUCUGACUCUCAGAGUUUGUGGACCUGUGAUGGUUUUGGGGAUGCUUACUCUAUCUACAGUCUUCCUUCUUCUUCUGGAAAUUGUUUUCAACUUCAUGAAGCUGGGCCUACUCUGUCCUCCUACGCCCAGCUUCCCCCACCGGCUGCAUAUAAUUUGAUCAGGGCUGGACACUUGACCCAAAUUGGGCCAAUCAGAUUUUCUUUGUGAGACUGUAGAGUUUGAAUUCAUAGAUGUUCAUCUUGGGUGCAGGGACUGAGGCGGGUGAGAAGCAGCUUUCUGAAGCUGCAUACCUGAGAAGCAGAGAAAGUUGAUCUGGAGAGAGAAAGAGAGAGAGGGAGAGAGGUGUAAAGACAGAAACAGAAAGGAGUGUACGUGCAGCCUGAGAGUGGGAGGGGAGAGCAUCAGCAGGAGUGUGAGAUGCAGACGGUAAUGCUGUAAUAUAAUUAGAAAAUAUAUAUUUGGUCUUUGUCUCUGGUUCCUGGCACAGGGCUUCUAAAACACUUGUAACUUCUUGAGCGUAGGGAGUCAGAGGAGUAUCUUUUGUUAUAAUAUUUGGCUUUUGUCCCCGGUUCCUGGCGCGGAACUUCUAAAAUCCUUGGAAUUUCCUGAACGAUAGGUGUGAGAGAAACCUCUAUUGUCAUUUAUAAUACGCCUCUUGCAAUCAUACUUGAGUUUAUGUGAAUGGGGUGAUUCUUGGAGGGUGCAGACUGGUUACCAGAGGAACCAGCCACAUGAUUAGAAGAUUGGAACUUCCAGCUCCACCUGCUGACCUGUGGGAAGAGGAGAAGGGCUGGAGAUUGAGUUCAUCACCAGUGGCCAAUGAUUUAAUCAAUCAUGACUACGAAAUGGAACCUCCAUAAUGACCCUCAGUGAUGGGGUUGAAGAGCUUCCUGAUUGGUAAACACAUCUACGCGCCAGGAGGGAGGCACACCCCAACCCCGGCGGUGCAGAAGCUCCUUCACUCUGGACCCUGAUGGCCCCUACUCUGUACCUCUUCACUUGGCUGUUCACUUGUGUCUUUCAUAAUAAGCCAGGAAGCAUAAGUAAAGUUCUCCCCUGCGUUCUGUGAACCAUUAUAGCAAGUUAUUAAACCUGAGGAGGGGGUUGUGGCCAAGUCUGAACAAAGUGUAAAUAACCUGGGGACCAACUGCUUGCAAUUGGUGUCUGAAAUGAGGGGCAGUCUUGUGGGACUGAGCCUCUAAUCUGUGGGGUCUGCAAUAACUCUGGGUAGUUACUGUCAGAAUUGAAUUCAAUUUUAGGGCACCCAGUUGGUGUCCAUAUAGAACUGGAAUAUUGCUUGGUGUGGAAAACCCAUACAUUUGGGGUAGAGAAACAGUUUCUCCUAGAACAGACCAAGAGUGAAGGCAGAGGUUUCAAUCCUGAUGGCUUUUUGGUUUCUGGUUUUCAGUCCCAACAGCCCUUUCUUCCCUUGAGUUCUGUGGCAUACAGCUACCAUCUUAUAAUACAUUUUUACAUUUUUUUAAUGCUAGAUGGAGUGGGUUUCAUUGACCCAAAAGGCCUUAACUAACACACUAACAUAACUUUUUCUGUUAGUGCAGUAAGUUUUUUUUUUUAGACUCUGGAGAAUGGACAUGCAAAUCAAAUUCCCAAGAGAAUGCUGAUUUAUUAAUUUCCAUGCAGAAUAACUGCCAGUGGGACCAGAAUACUCCUGCUCACAGGUCAGCUUGUUCCCUGCUGGUAGGAAAAUCUGCAUGGGAAGCCAAGUUAUUAUGAGAAGGCUGCUUGAUGAGUGCAGACAGAACCACAUAAUGAGGGGAUCUGAGCAGACUGCCUCCAAGCUAGCCAGGAUGGCUGGAGGCCCUUUUCCCUACUUUCAGGAUGGAGUGAACCUGCCAAGUGGUGUACACAUGUGCCCAUGCUACAGCAUCCUUGGAAAAUAGGCCAGCUCACUAAAACGAGUUCACCCAUAAGCCAAGUCAGCUAAUGAGCCAUUUACCUAAAAUGAGUAUUUGUUAAAACAUUUCAUGUGUGACUGGAUGGUUUCCAUAGCUUUCUGAGUCUUUUCUGUCUAUGGUGACUGGUGACUGUUUUAUGUUCUGCAGUUCUUAUACCUCUUUUUCCUUUUCUCUUCCCUUCCCUUCCCUCUUUUCUUCCUCUCCUUCUCCCUUUCCUCCCUCCCUUUUUCCUUCCUGCUUUCUUUUCUAUUCUUAUUUCAAAGAUAUUUUUGCUUACUUAUCUAAGGUUGCCCAUCUCCCCUACUUCAUGCUGCCAUCACCCCAUCAUCUCCUAGAGCUCAAGACUGGAGAUUGUCUCUUGAGAGCUAGGGCAGCCAUAAAGCCAGAAACAGUGCUGGAUGGAGAAAAUGGGUGGAGCAGAGCUAAAUGUGUGUGUGUGUGUGUGUGUGUGUGUGUGUGUGUGUGUGUGUGUGUGUUUGUGUGUGUGUGUGUGAUGGGGGGAAGCUGGAAGGGCAAGAGCCAGACACUCCAGACAACUUGAACCACCCAGACCAAAGCAGCAGGGGCAAGACUGUCAACUAGAAAUCAAACCAAGAAUCAAGAAUGGAACAAGAGACUGGAUUGAAGUAAGGAGAUAAUAAUAGUAGUUUUGUAUUUCUAUUGCCCAUUACGUAUCUUAUAACUUUCUAUUUUUCUAAAUUUGCAGUAUGUGCCUUUUGGAAACAUUUGUGUAAUGUUGAAUUUGCAUAAAUCUAGAGUUGCCCAACUCAGGGGGUGUUUUAUUUAUGAUUCAUCAACUUUCUCCUUUUUUCUUUUUAGCUUCUCCUUCCUGCUGCUUAUUAUUUGCAUCUUAGACUUUUGUGCACUAGAUGUCAUCAUUAAGCAAAUUAACCCAAAUUUAAUGUUUGUUGCUCUGUAGUGAGGCAUUUCUGUGUUGACAGUGGAAGUGAAAAAAUAAGGCGUUCAUCAGAAACAUAUUAAGCUCUAUUGCACUUUAUAGCUUGUGACACCUAAAUGACAAAGUGAUACUGGACCACAAAUAUUAACCCAUAUUAUAUUUUAAUGCUCUUUUGAACCAAAUAAAGCCUGUCUUAACCAAAUAAAGUUUUUUCCAUCA
rnacentral:lncRNA from 1 species